AACUAAAUAGGAUUCCCUUAGUAAUGGCGAAUGAACAGGGAUCAGCUCAGUAUGGAAAUCGGGGCUUCCCAGCCUUGAAUUGUAGUCUCAAGAGGUAUCGCCAACGGAGGCGCAGAUGUAAGCCUCUUGGAAAAGAGCAUCAAUGAGGGUGAGAAUCCCGUUUGUCAUCUGCAGUCCCCCGUGCACGGUGUAUCUUCUAAGAGUCGCGUUCCUCGGGAUUGGAGCGUAAAGUGGGUGGUAAAUUUCAUCUAAGGCUAAAUAUGGGUUCGAGACCGAUAGCAAACAAGUACCAUGAGGGAAAGAUGAAAAGGACUUUGAAAAGAGAGUUAAAAGUGCCUGAAAUUGCUGAAAGGGAAGCGAAUGGAACCAGUGCUCUUGGCGAGAUUGUUGUGCGCUAUGGUGAUUGCUGGCUGCUUCAGCGCAAGCGGGGUAGUUGGUACUGAGCCUGCCGCGCGCAGUGUUUCUUACCUUGUGCGUCACCGUCGGUUCACAGGCGAGGAUACUUCUGAGGACAUGGUAACUCUUCCACGGAGGUGUGAAUGUCUUUGGUAAUACUCGUUUGUAGACCGCUCACCUUCGGGUUACGAUGACUAAAUGGUUCUAUUCGACCCGUCUUG
rnacentral:rRNA from 1 species